UACAGAGGUGGCAAGCGUUGUUCGGAAUUACUGGGCGUAAAGGGCGCGUAGGCGGCCUUCUAAGUCAGACGUGAAAUCCCCCGGCUUAACCUGGGAACUGCGUCUGAUACUGGGAGGCUUGAGUAUGGGAGAGGGAUGUAGAAUUCCAGGUGUAGCGGUGAAAUGCGUAGAUAUCUGGAGGAAUACCGGUGGCGAAGGCGGCUCUCUGGACCGGAUCUGACGCUGAGGCGCGAAAGCGUGGGGAGCAAACAGG
rnacentral:rRNA from 1 species